CCUACGGGAGGCUGCAGUGGGGAAUAUUGCACAAUGGGGGAAACCCUGAUGCAGCAACGCCGCGUGAAGGAAGACGGUUCUCGGAUUUUUAACCUCCUUUUGUAGAGAAGAAAAAUGACGGUAGCGAAGGAGCCAGCCAGUGCUUACUACGUACCAAUAGGCUCGGUAAGACGUAGGAGGCAAGCGAUUUCCGGAUUUACUGGGUGUAAAGGGAGCGCAGGCGGGAUGCUAAGUCAGUUGUGAAAAUUACGGGCUUAACUGGAAGAUUGCAGUUGAAACUGGUUGUCUUGAGUAAAGUAGAGGUUGGCGGAAUUCGGGGUGUAGCGGUGAAAUGCGUAGAUAUUCGGAAGAACACCGAUGGCGAAGGCAGCUCACUGGGCUUCAACUGACACUGAGGCUCGAAAGUGUGGGGAGCAAACAGGAUUAGAUACCCCUGUAGUC
rnacentral:rRNA from 1 species